rnacentral:rRNA from 1 species
CCUACGGGGGGCUGCAGUGGGGAAUAUUGCACAAUGGGGGAAACCCUGAUGCAGCGACGCCGCGUGAGCGAAGAAGUAUUUCGGUAUGUAAAGCUCUAUCAGCAGGGAAGAAAAUGACGGUACCUGAGUAAGAAGCUCCGGCUAAAUACGUGCCAGCAGCCGCGGUAAUACGUAUGGAGCAAGCGUUAUCCGGAUUUACUGGGUGUAAAGGGAGCGUAGACGGGUAUGUAAGUCUGGAGUGAAAGCCCGGGGCCCAACCCCGGGACUGCAUUGGAAACUGUUGAACUGGAGUACAGGAGAGGUAAGCGGAAUUCCUAGUGUAGCGGUGAAAUGCGUAGAUAUUAGGAGGAACACCAGUGGCGAAGGCGGCUUACUGGACUGUAACUGACGUUGAGGCUCGAAAGCGUGGGGAGCAAACAGGAUUAGAUACCCCAGUAGUC